rnacentral:rRNA from 1 species
CGAAGGUGGCAAGCGUUACUCGGAAUUACUAGGCGUAAAGGGCAGGUAGGCGGUUCGGUUAGUCUGUUGUGAAAGCUCCUUGCUUAACGGGGAGAGGCCAACAGAUACUGCCGGGCUUGAGUAUAGGAGAGGGUACUGGAAUUCCCGGUGUAGCGGUGAAAUGCGCAGAGAUCGGGAGGAACACCAAUGGCGAAAGCAGGUACCUGGACUAUUACUGACGCUCAGCUGCGAAAGGCUAGGGGAGCAAACAGGAUUACGAUACCCUGGUAGUCCUAAGCCGUAAACGAUGCACAUUAGGCGUGAGGGGUAUCCGACCCCCUUCGUGCCGAAGCAAACGCAUUAAAUGUGCCGCCGUGGGGAGUACGGCCGCAAGGUUAG